rnacentral:rRNA from 1 species
AACGAACGCUGGCGGCAUGCCUAACACAUGCAAGUCGAACGAGACCUUCGGGUCUAGUGGCGCACGGGUGCGUAACGCGUGGGAACCUGCCCUUAGGUUCGGAAUAACUCCCCGAAAGGGGUGCUAAUACCGGAUAAUGUCUUCGGCCCAAAGAUUUAUCGCCUUUGGAUGGGCCCGCGUUGGAUUAGCUAGUUGUUAGGGUAAAAGCCUACCAAGGCGACGAUCCAUAGCUGGUCUGAGAGGCUGAUCAGCCACACUUGGACUGAGACACGGCCCAGACUCCUACGGGAGGCAGCAGUGGGGAAUAUUGGACAAUGGGCGAAAGCCUGAUCCAGCAAUGCCGCGUGAGUGAUGAAGGCCUUAGGGUUGUAAAGCUCUUUUACCCGGGAUGAUAAUGACAGUACCGGGAGAAUAAGCCCCGGCUAACUCCGUG